UACGUAGGCAGCGAGCGUUGUUCGGAGUUACUGGGCGUAAAGGGUGUGUAGGCGGUCGUCUAAGUUUGGUGUGAAAUCUCCCGGCUCAACUGGGAGGGUGCGCCGAAUACUGAAUGACUAGAGUGCGGGAGAGGAGGGUGGAAUUCCUGGUGUAGCGGUGAAAUGCGUAGAUAUCAGGAGGAACACCGGUGGUGUAGACGGCUCUCUGGACCGUAACUGACGCUGAGACACGAAAGCGUGGGUAGCAAACAGG
rnacentral:rRNA from 1 species